CUAUGCGGUGGUAUAUCAAUCCUAACCCUUCUUGGCAUCACUUUGCUAGCUAGUUUGUGUAGCUCUCUUGCUUAGCUUAGCUUAUCACCUAGGGGCAGGGAUGGAUGUAAAGGGGGCUAGAGGGGCUCUAGCCCCCUUACAUUUGGUGCAUCAAUGGAAAUAUGGGGAGGGUGAGGAAGAAGAAGAGGUGGAGGAAAAAAUAAAAAUGGAGA
rnacentral:lncRNA from 1 species